rnacentral:rRNA from 1 species
CCGGCGCACGGGUGAGUAACGCGUAUCCAACCUGCCUCUGACUGAGGGAUAACCCGUCGAAAGUCGGCCUAAUACCUCAUGGCAUCGUCUGCGGGCAUCCAACGACGAUUAAAGAUUUCAUCGGUCAGGGAUGGGGAUGCGUCUGAUUAGCUUGUUGGCGGGGUAACGGCCCACCAAGGCUACGAUCAGUAGGGGUUCUGAGAGGAAGGUCCCCCACAUUGGAACUGAGACACGGUCCAAACUCCUACGGGAGGCAGCAGCC